AGGAGCAUAUAGACUGCUGACUUUACAACCCAGGUUAUUUAACCCCUUGGACCUCUAUAAGGAGCAUAUAGACAGUUGACAUUACAACCCAGGUUAUUUAACCAAUUGGACCUCUAUAAGGAGCAUAUAGACAGUUGACAUUACAACCCAGGUUAUUUAACCCCUAGGACCUCUAUAAGGAGCAUAUAGACAGUUGACUUUACAACCCAGGUUAUUUAACCCCUUGGACCUCUAUAAGGAGCAUAUAGACAGUUGACUUUACAACCCAGGUUAUUUAACCCCUAGGACCUCUAUAAGGAGCAUAUAGACAGUUGACUUUACAACCCAGGUUAUUUAACCCCUAGGACCUCUAUAAGGAGCAUAUAGACAGUUGACUUUACAACCCAGGUUAUUUAACCCCUUGGACCUCUAUAAGGAGCAUAUAGACAGUUGACUUUACAACCCAGGUUAUUUAACCCCUUGGACCUCUAUAAGGAGCAUAUAGACAGUUGACAUUUCCAUCGCAUCUCGAUGUCGUGAAGUUCGUCCGUUUUCUUUUUUUUAAGGGUGUUG